UCGGGACUGGUCGCCCACACGCUGCCCUGCCUGGCGCUGGCGCUGGCUGCGUUAUUUUGUCCGAGAGCGCUUUGGAAAAAAAAUCCACUGAGGGCAAGUCACUCAGUCAGUGUGUGCGCGCGUGUGCGCGCGCGCGCGGCAGUUUGUGUCUGCGUGCGUGAAUCGAUGAGAUACGCGCUUGAUUGGGUCUCCCUUGUUGUAAUAAUGUACAUGAGGAGGAGGAGGAGGAGGAGGAGGAGGGGACGGCUCGGGCUGCUCCCGUGCGUGCAGGCUGGCUCGAGCGCACGGAUAAGCCCAGCGCCGGCGCCCACUGACAAACACUUUCUUGGCCGCCGAUGGUACUUUUCUCCCGUUUUUUUCCCCCCUCUCUUCUUUGCGUGGCCUGAUAGGAGCUACUUAAAACAGCCACGCAGAGUCAGACGUGUCUCCCAACACUGUGCUCCGCGCUCCUUCCUGCGCCUCAAGUGACCGAGGAGGCGCACAAUCUCCACCAAGCGCUGCCAAUUUCAGUGUCACUCAGUGGAUUAAAGUACUUUUUUUUCUUUACAGACAAUCCUCGACGUGAAACGCGAUGAUGAGCGCAGCCUACGGGAUUCUUGGAGAGGGAACGGGGCGACAAGGGAGGGCAGUGUGGGUGAGUUGCCAAAGGCAGUCUUUCUUCCUCCUCCAGUCUUCUCCUGCGCCAGAUGUGGCGCGGUCGCGCUGCGUCUCUCACGCUCGUCGAACGCCCGAGAAGCAGCUUCCACCGAGGGGAGCAGAUGUCCUUAUCCUUCCUCCUAGACCGUGUCGAUCCCGCGGCAGAGCGACGAGUCUGUCAGGUCACCGGGCUCGGUGGAAGAACGAUUGGUUGAUUGGUGGUGAGUCUCCGCCGAUCGAGGAUGUUUUCGCCCUAAUCUCACCGCGACUGUGUGCGCCGCUCCACCACUGCAUGCUGUUAGAUCCGCCCAAGCAUCUGUCCGUCUUUCCAUUGGCGCAUCCAUCAGUGUCACACACACACACACACACACACACACACACACACACACACACACACACACACACACACACACACUCUCGUGUUCACAUUCCUUGCGAUACUACAACUCCCCCGCCCACCCCACAGUGUACACUCAAACAUAAUGCACACACACACACACACACACACACACACACACACACACACACACACACACACACACACACACACACACUUACGUGCUCGCGGACGGCGGAGAGCUUUCCUAUCCAUCUGACUGACUCAGUCCACUUUCCUAAAAGCACGUCAGCGAGCGCGCUGCCUUUUUGUUUGGCAUUUCCACUCCGAGUGAUUUUUUUUACUUCUCCAGUAUCAUCGCUUUAUUCUUCUUCCCAAAUAUCUACAAGAAGAGAAAGAAGCUCUGGGUCUGGAAAUAUUUAUUUUACAUUUUGUAGCCAUUUCUAAAACGCCAUGAAGUGUAUAUCAGAGACUUCGUUGUUUUUCCCUGUAGAAAAACCUCGAACUAAUUUGACUAUGAAUUAGUUUAAUUUGUUCGUCUUUACUGAACCGGGAGCAGACACACAGGGCAAACGAUCCGUGUGUCGGCAGCAAGUACGUGGGAUAUACAUAUAUAUCAAAAUAGAAAAGUAAAUGUUUUUACCAUUAGAUAUCAAUAUUUUACAUUUAGAUUCCUUUUUUGAACUUUUGAACUUUCUGAUGACAUAUAGACUAACUGCACUGUAGAGAGAAAUGUUACAUUUAGGAGAAUAAUCUCUCUAUCUUUUGCCCUUUUCCACUAAUGUUCACUGAAAGUGUCCCGAACCAGGCACAUUGCGUUCUCUAAUUGUGAUAAAGAUAUACGACUGUACACCUACUUUGUAGGUCUGUGUCUGGAGAAGAGACGACGGGAGAGAUUGAAGUUGCAGGGGGUUGAUUUAUGCAGCCGCCAAGCACAUAAUUGUGAAACUAAAAUGUAUUAGCACAGAAUAUUUAUUUGCGGUAAAGUCGUGUAAUCCUUUUACAAGCGUAAAACAAGUUCCAGUCCGAGCUACAGUUUGGUGUAAGUCUUUAAGUCUAACUGCAAAGUGAGAGUCACUCGGUGCGCACUUUUACGCACGAAGCUGAGGGUGAAUGCAGCAUAAACAUAUGCGAUGUGUGAAAUAAAUUUAAUAUACUUAAGUAUAAGAGCUGAGACGCACGCACACGUGCGUUUCCUUAAAAAACAGCAGUGUGAAUAACAACGAUUACGAAGUUACUUAUUAGUUCAAAAGUUCACGAGGGCGCGAGUCUGGCUCUUCUUUCCAUUCUCGAGUUUGAUUUCUUCCCUGUUCAUUUGCUCUAAGCGUUAGUUUAAACCUCGAGAAUCGUUCUGUUUUAAAAUAACGUCCGACUUUCAAAAUUGUUUAUUAGGUCAGUGACGUGUAACGUGUGUGUGUGUGUGUGUGUGUGUGUGUGUGCGUGGAUGCGUGCCAGAAAUGGAGAGGAGGCAGACGCACAGAGAGUAAUGCAAAAGAAACGAAGUGAGGUGGCUCAUUCAUUGCUGAGGCACGCGUUGAUAUAAAACUUUCUACAGCGUUUUAACAAUUUUGAUCCGUGCUUAAAACACCCCCAAAUCACCGAGCUGUGGUCACUCAGCCUUCUCCAAAGCAGGUACAUCUGUGCGUCCCAGCUCCUCGAACGACCCAUCUGGAAUUCAGGUUAUCCGUCGUUUAUCCGGAAGUUCGAAUAUGUUUUCUGUAUUGGUGAUAAGAACGCUGAAUUAUUAUUUUAUGGUCCCACUGUUUAUUUAACUUUCUAAUUUUGUUAGAGCACAAUUCAAUGUGUUUGCGCGGGACACACGAACUCUUUCCUGUUUUAUUUUUAUGUCCACUGAGGUGCGUGUGAUUUAUUCAUUUAUUAAUUAAAAAUGUAAUGAUUACGUGACCAACGCGUGGAAACAAAUAACACAUUUAAUUCAUACGUUGCGACUCCACAGUGGGCCCGUGGGGUGGAUGUUACACUGGGCUUAGGUUGCGGUGUUUUCAUGAAGCUCACCGAUAUUAGACUAAUCCUGUGUAACUCUCCAGUCCCCAGUUGGAGCUGCGCUGUUCCUGCGAACUGCUUCACUUCUUUCUAAAAAUAAUAUGCGGGGAAAUAAAUCUGCGAUGACACGUUGGACUUUUCUGAAGUUAAAGCGGCCUCUAUAAAAGGCACUCGCUUUGGGAUCUUAUAACAGUGGCCGUGGGUGACUGUUGUGCGCGUUUAAGCUCCUAAAUAAGAUCAGCUAUCGCAAUAUUGAUUAUUAGACAAGUAAACCGAACUCAUCGGGUUUUCACACGUACCCACUCACCUCUGGUCCCAUGCGGUUGUGUGUGUUUGCGUGUGUGUGCGGUGAAGGUAAGACGUGCUUCGCCCCCGCUUUGUGCCGCUUCUGCCUUUACGCACGGUCGCAGCCUCCUCCGCGGUCGCACGGCGCGACAGGGUUCAGGCAGCUCGCUGCACGGGGUGAGUCCACAUUUUCUCGUGUCGCGUUGGUUUUUCGCGUUUGUUUGGGAAGGAUCGGCCAAGAUUAAAGUCGAAACCACAGUACGCGUGUACUUUUCGAAAGUUAUGUGCGCGCAUACUCGCGCGCGCUCCAUGGUGGAUAUUUAUCGCUUUUAAAUGUGACGUUUCGGUUACGUAAAUCAUCUGGGUUUAAUCCAUUAUCUCACUCGAACAAUAACCGCGACUUUAAAUUUCUAUAUUGAAACAGCGACGUGGACUUCGCCACAGUCCACAAUGGGCUUCACCGAAUUUCCGCUGGACGCGUCGGGUUGAGUAGAAACAGGGGGAGGUUUAGCGCACGGCUAAUGUGAUUUAUCCCUGAGCCGCCGUGCGCUUUUUUUCCUCCUCCCUUUUCUUCAUGUGCUUCUUCCACAACGACCGCUGCGGCGCGGAGAGGCGGCGUGGCGCACCGGCUUCACGGCACACUGGCUUCUAGUAGAGUGGAUAAAGAGCCAAGGGGGAGGGACGGGCAGACGGGGAGGGAUGAAAGGGAAAAAGAACGUCACGGUAUUCUAAACUGUCCCCUAAUCUGUAAACUGUGGCACAGCCCCCGACUUUUUGCACGGCAGCAAGACGCACGCGCGUGCUGAUAAAUAAGAGAAGUUGAUCGAGCGAGUCACCAAGUCAGAGUGAACGUAACACAAAACACACGAAGAACAAUAAUCACUUCGUCAACUUCAAACUAUUUCCGGUUACAAAAGCUAUUGUUAAAACUAAAAAAACAUUUUUUAUGGCUGUAAGAAUAAUACAUUUCUAAGCAACAAGUGACACUUUAUCGUUUUUUUUAAAACGGUAAAACAGAGCAUCUCUAUGUUUAGGCAACUAGCAAAAAAAAAAAAAAAAAAGUCUGGCAUCUUUGUUAAAGUUUCUUCCUCCCUGAAAUUCUGUGACCCUGUUUUUGAUUUGCUUCCUCUCAGCCCCAGGCCAUGCCCGUGGCUGUCAGCAAAGCCCUCCCGCCUUGCCCACUACAAUUUAGCGCAAACUGUUUCAUUGUGUACUGUUAGGAUUUUGUGCAUAUCCCAAUGACUCCCAGGGACCGUCUCCUCCAGUCCGCUGGUGAUUUUAUUACCUCAAGAAUACAUGCAUUAAUAAGAAACAGGCAUCAAUUUGCAUGGAGCGAGAAAGACCUUGAAGGAGGCCAGGGUUAGACUCUGCUCAAAUAAAUGUAAAAGUUACAAACUCCCACCAACAACUAGACGAGUCAUUGACAAGAGGAGCUGAAAAAGAUCGAGUGGAUGCUCUCUGUCUCCCCCCCCCCCCUUCCAUCCCUAGCGUCCUCCCUCCCUCCUGCCUCGUUGGGUGUGCUACGAGCUAGCAGGGUUGAGAGGGCAAGUGCUGACCAGCCCUCUUUCUUUCUCUGUCUGCUGUUACUAGGUCACCGCACACACACACACACACACACACACACACACACACACACACACACACACACACACACACACACACACACACACACACACACCUCUCUCCUUGCGGUCAGUGUUGCCACUAGGGAGAAGGGUAAUUUAGGCCCUCCUUGAUGUAGCCUAUUCAUCACUGUCCCGUGGUCCGCACUUCAAAAUUAAAGUCUGAUCUACAAAGUUAGAGUGAAAUGACAUAAAAAUUGGCAGAGGUCACAGAAGGCCGGGUCAGUGGCAACACAAAGCCGCGUUGAUAGAAGUGCAGUUUCAUUUAUGAUUUUUCUGUAUAAUUUUCAGACAACAAUUUCACCAAUUAACAGAAUAAACCCGGAGACGUCGGUGCCAGUGAAGCCGCAGAGAGAGAUUUUAUCUAGUAAAAGCAAAUGCAAUUUGCCAGUUCAUGCGAUAUUAUAAGAUGCCAUAUCUGCUAAUGUUCUUGUCCAAAUUCAAUUUGGAAAUAGGUGAAGACCCAGCACCUCAAAGUAGAAAUGAAAAACUCGAUCAUACAAAGAAAUGACACAUGAUUGUCUCAAUUAUGGUCAGAGUAAUAAAAUCAAAGCACCCGGCCCUGUGCUCGUGUUAUUGUCUUAAUUUAAUGAAAAUCACGCAAACUAGAUUACAAAAUAAAAUCACAUAAACUAGCGAAAAGAAAGGUUUAAAAAUAUGUGGAGGUUAAUCCUUCAAAAUGGCCAUAAAUCCUGAUCAUGAAGGAUCCAGUCGUCAACCAAAAACACAUUUUUUCUGACAUUAUAAACGCAAUAAAAUGUUAAAAUGUAUAGAUUGCGACAACAAGAGGUAGAUGCAAAUUAUACAAUAUAGUCCAAUGCAUUUGCCAAAAUUCAUGCUUCCAGUCCACAUGAUGUGAUGUUGAUCAUAUAACUUCCAGACUCAGAUGUUUAUAGGAAGCGUAGGUAUUUCUGAGGAAACGUUUGUGUGUAAUAUCUGAUGCCUGUCUGAUGAGUUACACUGUUUAUCAGUGUGCGGUGUGAUGGCACACUGCUGAGUGAGUCACUGCUUCCUCCUCGCUUUUAUGUGUGUGUCUGUGUGUGCGGAAACCACGCUGACAGCUGCAGCUCAUUACAGGCACUAUUACUGAUGGGGACUGCUGGGGGAAAUUCCUUCUUCCAUGGAGCAAAACUACCCUGUUUACCGCACACACACACACACACACACACACACACACACACACACACACACACACACACACACACACACACACACACACACACACACACACACACACACACACAGUCCAUGCUUAUUCAGAAACUGGACUUGCGAUGUCUGGAGCUGAAACAAAAAAACAAUUAAAUAUAAACAUUUACCAAACAUUUACUUUUGGCUGAAACAUUAAAAACGCUACUUUCCAUAAAAGUUGAUGAAAUAUGUCACAGCCUUCCAGCUGCUGGAGAAUAAAAGACGUAUUUCACCUGCGUGUGUGAAGUAUACCUGUGUACAUGUAGCAGCCGGUAAAACACACACAGACACACAGGCGGCCACAGGACAAGAAAACUUAAGAGGAGAUGAGAUCACCGGUACACUCUAAGCCUUGCCCUGCUGGCAAACAGCAGCCUCCCUCUCUGUCUGACACACAAGCACACACACACACACGCGCACACACACACACACACACACACACACACGGUAUACAGUGUCCAGUGACGGUAAUGAGAGGGCUGAAAGCCAGACACACAUGUGCUAGAGUCAUUAGGGAAGACUUCAUAGCUACACUUCAGGCCACUACACUCCAUUACAGUACUUCAUUGGUUACACUGCUUGAAAAUAGUGGUUUCUAAAAGUCCGGUUCAGGGACCACCAGCGCUUCUUUGAGCCCCAGGGAGUUCCUCUUUAAAUAAAAAAGUAGGCCAGUUACCUGCUUUUCUUUAUUUACUUAAAGCGCUGCUAGGCAAAUAUACACACAUCUCAUUUUCAUUAUCGUGUCUGAUUGCGUGACUCCACAAAGAGACAUUCUGAUUUUUUAUAGUACACAUUCAAAGUUUAUAGGUAAAAGAAGCUUGGGACCAGUUGCUGGUUCAAUCCACCUUGGUCCAGAAGUAUUGAACUUGGUUGGGACAAAAAAAAGUAAGUGCUGACCAAUGAUGCUGUGGUGCCCUUGAGCAAGGUACCAAAUCCCAGCUGUCCUAAGGGAGCUGCCCAGCGAUUACUGAUUAUACUGUACAAAUCUACAGAGGGUUGAUUGAAAUGAACAGAUGCAAUCAGGCUUCUGGCUUAGACGGACGCAACACCCUUUUAUGUUUCAGAAAAUAAGUGACAUUUGUUACAUCUAUUGCAUUAAUGAAGAAAGUGACAUCUCAUUAUUAGUUCCUCCAAACAUCUAAACUUUAGUUUCUGGCAUUAGAAUUGUAAUGAAAAAUGAAAUCUAAGUCACAUAAAGUUAUCAACUACAUGUAGACUUUCACUUUACAAAGUUUACACCAUAAACGUAAUUGAGCACAUCAUCAGCAUAAAGACACACUCUGGGCUAUUUUUAGCCAUUUUACUUGAUGAUAAGACUUGGGUUGUAUAAAACGCAGACAUAUCUUAAUAAAAAUGGAACCAUUGUCCAUUGUGCUAGUUGGAAAAAUACUGCCUUUAAUCAUUGAAACAUAUUUUGCUGAUUUGCCGUAGCCUUGUUAGCUGUGCUAUGGCCUUGAAGUUUUCUCCCUUCUGCUCUGCAAGAAAGAGGGAGUACCGGUGUGUACAGCACGGUACCAUCUUUAUCUAAUGCACUUGGUGCAAGAAAUAUUUUCUCAUGUAUUGUGUGACUUUGCAUCUCCCUGGGUGGAAACAAACUAUUUUAUGAGCUGUACUCUUUUCUUUUCUUCAGCGAGAGGAAGUUGCCUACAUUAGCUGCGUACUGCUCACUCCUUGCAAGCAAAAUCCUGAAGAACUGAUUGUGUCCCUUUUAUUUAAGAUUUACAAAGGGAACUCACAAUUUCCCUAACAGUGCUCUUGUCACCUGCAUUUAUAUAUCUUCUAAAGCAAUACAGUGUUUUUAUUAAUUAGCCCCAACGUGGAGAUCCCAUGGCCUUUGUCAGCUGUACCCUCUUCCCUUUAACCACACCGCUAAAAACACUGCGCAGACAGAGAAAUACAGACAGUAUCAUGACAAGCAUGAAAAGGGAAAAUCAGACUACAUGAGAGGAACUUUGGAGAAAGAAGGAAGUCGAGCUGAAGACAAGGGGAUGAGUCAUCCUACCAUGUCUGACUGAAGGCACAAUUAAAGCAGAUAGAACAUCUAGUGCUACUCCUGAUUUAAAAUACCCUGUAUGUGAUAUUAGUGAACCGAUGGCUGAUUAGUCUGUUGGUUGUUUAAGGCUGUUUUCACAGUUUUGCUAAACUACUAUAUGUGUACGUCUAAAUAAUGAUGUAGUAAAUUUCCAUCACAAAAAACAUGGUUAUUAUUGGGAUGAAUGAAAAAACAGGGUGGUUGUUUUUUUUCUUUCAUUCCAAUAAUAACCAUGUUUUGCUGGAUCAGUUUACAGUAGUUUGUUUAGCAACACUCAGCAAGACAAUACCCCCACCCCCCUCCCCUCCCAUUAGAUGAUUCAUAAAGUACACUCUGAUCCACUAAUAUGAGUUCAAAUUACCUUAUGUUAAAGCCAAAUAUUAAUAAGAAUAAUAGAAAAAUCAAAUAUAUUUAUAAUGACCUCUGUUAUGAAAUACACUUUGGUCUCUUUUCAGUCUUUCUUGCCAAUAAAUCCGUAUUUUAGUAACAGUGUUUUUGCAUAUUAAAUCACUACCUAACCAACGACCUUUGCACAAACAUGAAUGCAUGUUUUGCCAGACAUUAAAGUGUCAGUGAUCAUAAAAAAAGGAAGAAAGGCAGACCCUGUGAUGGAGUGGUGGCUCGUCCAGGGUGAACCCGCCUCUCACCCAGAUGACAGCUGGGAUGGGCUCCAGCAUACCCACAACUUUUACAAGGACAAAGUAGUUCAGCAGAUGAGUGAGUGAUAAAACGGCACAUGGGUGUCUGUGUGAGAAUGAGUCAUAGGUCACGUCGUAAAAUAAAUUAAUUAUAUAUACACACAUGUCGGCCAUUUCAACAUAAAACAGUGCGCGCGCGCACACACACACACACAAAAUCUUUCUCUGCCAAAAUAUCCAGUCAUGCGUUACAACUGCCAGAUAAUUUGAUGAGACAACGUUCGGUAAAUGUUUGGGAAGUUUCUGGUUUGUUUACUUCACUCUCAGCAUGUUUAAUAACUCAUUAAACAAAACUAUAAUCUUUUUCUAACACACUUCUGUGGCCCCACAACACACGACUCUGGAACCGCACUUGGGUCGAUGUGUGACGAUUCAAUAUGUUGGGAAAAGGUGGGAAGAAAGGGUUGUGCUUUCCUCCUCCAUCUCACAAAGACUCACCUACGUUACUGAACCUAUUGCGAUCAUUGUGUAAUCAUUAUAUCAUAAAUAAAAUGUGCCACUUCACAUAACCGUUGUAUAGAGCUACUUGCAGAAAUAACCAACAGAUGCUAAAAGUUCCCUUGAACUCAGGAGUGAUUCUCACAAAACAUCAGCAGCCAGUGGUUUUUAUAAGCUUAACACAUGAACAAGCUCUGACUCCGUCUGGCCUGAAGUGGGGCAUUGUCCAUAUUCCUGGUUUGAGGUCGCUCUGUAAAGGAAACGCCGUCACUGCGUCUUUAAUUGCACAGGAAAGCUGCGAGAUCGCACGACUACAGGAAGCGCGGGUCAGAGUUUAACCAGUCGGCCUGUGAGCUGCUGGUGCUUGUUUACAGCUGGCACUUGGAUUACGCAGCCACUUCCCUUUGUUCUUUUAAAAAAAACAUGAGGUUUCAUGAGGUUUCCAACCUGUUCUUACGUCUAAGCACUUGCGCUGCAUUGUUAGAUCUCUGCAAGAACAGUUGUUGAGCCAGUAGAAGCGGUGUUGGAGCCUUGCACAUCGUUACAAGCCGCAGCUUUACUUUAACAUGCAGCCCACCCAAGGUCCCACUUCGUCUGCUGAAUGUAACCCCAUAUUUCAUAAACAGAUGUAGGGCUUUGCCAGAAUAAGGAAACAUAUUGGCCUCCUUCUCCUGUCCCAGUGGCCAAGACUGAUAUCCAUUUAAUUCAGAUACAUUUCUCUAUAUACAGUACAUUCUUAGGAAAUGGCAAUAAUAUCUUUACACAACAGACUGUUGCACCAAAUCUCUAUAGUUCUACAGAGGGUUAGAUGGUUCAAGUGAUUAUGAACAAACCCAUUAGUUUCGAACAUAUUGAGUUUCAGUAUUACACAGUGUUAUUAUGAUAUUACUGGCUAUACACAAAUAGAGCGCCGUGUCAGAGAAACACUCAGGAGUCAAACGCGGUUCAUUUCAGGAUGUAUAGCACAUGCGUGGGAGCCACUCCGCACUGAAAGCUCAAGUGGAUACAAAUCACGGGCCGAUACUCUUGUCAUGUCAGCCCAAAGCCACUUCAGCUGUGCCUGGUGUUUAUCUUACGGUGACAUUCUCCCUGUGUGUUAUGCUGAAGCCUCCUUCCUCCACCCACUUCCACCCCGAUGCUGCCUUGUAAAAAGAUACCUGCUAAAUGGAGAAGAGAGACGGAUGAACUUAAUGGCGGUGGAGGGAUGCGCCGAAAAGGGAGGCUGAGCGGGCGAGAGGGGGUGGGGGGGGGGGUAUAUGUCCUCUGUGACAAUGCUGAUGCAAUGAUGAUCCCGCUUAUGGGAAACCCGUGACACGAGGAAUGUUUGAUACUGCACAGAUGUAUUAACUCGUCUGUGUGCGUGAGGAACAAGCUGAGUGUGUAUGAAGGUUAUGGAGUCUAUUAUUAUUUUUAUAGAUUUUAUAGAAAACCUUCAAUUACUAAUAACCAUGCAACAUAUGUCAAUGUUAUGUCAUGAAUGAUAAUGUAUAUACAUAGAAAAUAGAAAGGAGCACUGUCAGUAAAAACAGGCUUUUGUCUUGUACUAUACACACCUCAGCAUUUUGAUCCAUCAUUAAGACUUGUGUCCACGCCUCAUCACUCACAGCGGAUGCGAUACUGUGCUAAGUGCGGUGCAGCCGAAGGUGCGACGGCCGUGGAUUCCAGGGCGCCCUUAGGCAAGCGCAAAGAUGCUAGCGGACGUGACACGCGGCAUCUGCUCCACGCCCGUCUGAAUUAGCGUCUCACCGCUGGGCUGAGACACUGUGCCCCACCUCGGGGGAGGUGAGAGGAGAGGUCAAAAUCGCUCAAAUGAUUUCCCACUUUUGCGGAGAAGAGGAGUCGUGGCUUUAGGAUAUUUGGUGACACGGAGGAUUUUCUUCACGCGUCCCCCGCGCGUCUCGAACGGUGGAAUGUGGCUUUUCGUCGGCGGUACUGGUGACUGAUGGCUGAUGGAAUAGGAAGCGGCGUCCGCGACAUUAAACGAAUGCUGACCAGCAGAUCACCAUGAAGAGUUCUCCGAAGCUCUCAGACGUUGGCAGACGUGUUCUGUCUGUUGCGUAAAGAGCCUCGGCCUCAUGUGUGGGUAGUCCAGGGGAGUUUGUAAAAGCUUUGCCUGUGAAGUGUCAAACUCCCAGAGAGAGGAUCAAGUGCUAAGCUGGGGAAUCAGGAGCUCAUUGCCUUGUGUGUGUGUGUGUGUGUGUGUGUGUGUGUGUGUGUGUGUGUGUGUGUGUGUGUGUGUGUGUGUGUGUGUGUGUGUGUGUGUGUGUGUGUGGUUUUAGGGAUUGAGGAAGUGAUAUAUCCCUUUAUCUGUUACUGAGGAUGACCACAAGCCUGACCGGUGUUGGCUUCGCAAGGCUAAAUCCACAUCCUCAAAGGACGGCUCCGUUGGGGGGGGUUGUAGUGUGCAAAGGUGCAUCAGAGAGCAAGGUCUCCUCAGGGGGAAGCAGAAAGUCAAAGGUCAAACACACAUGGGGGGUGAGUGAGCAACCCAGCAAGCGGAACAGAAACCUUCUGCACUCAAGAAAAACACAGCAAAGACACUGGCCUGUGUGUGUGUGUGUGUGUGUGUGUGUGUGUGUGUGUGUGUGUGUGUGUGUGUGUGUGUGUGUGUGUGUGUGUGUGUGUGAGUGAGCAAGUAAGAAUGUGCGCCAGAGAAAAUAAAAGAAAGAUACAAUAAUAAUAAAAUCUUACUAUUUGCACAGACAGAUGAGAUUAUGUUUGUAUGUAAACAGUGCAGUUUGGAGUGAAAGAAACAUAUACAGUUUAUGUGUUAGGGGAAAAUGUUGACGAGUGGUUUAGUAACAUUUACUUUUUUUUUUUUUUACAUUUUACAGCAACAUUUUCUGACAGAAAAGUAUAAUGAUAAAAACUUUAUUAUUGAAUACUGUAAAUAUAUAUUGUACAUAUGGGCUUAUCAUGAGUGAAAAGGUUUGACACCUUGUGCAAUAUGAAAUUAUUAAUUAUUAUAAAUUAAAACUUAAAAAACUAAAUAUUACCUUUACAUCAAAAUGAAACUAAUCUAUAACUUUUGUUUUGUUUUUCAUUUCAAAAUAUGUCGCCUAAAAAUAAUGAAAUAAAAAUAUUAAGAAUGAAUGAAUACUUUCUUCUGUAUAUUUACUGAAAUACAAUUCAAACGUAUUGACUGUGAUUUAAUUUAUAUUUCAACACCCUGGAAGACAAUAGUGUGCUGCUCAUAAAAGGCACAGACGCAGUCAUCAGCCUCCUCCAUGAUGGUCAGUCCUCAUGUCCACACUUGAUCUGCUUCUGUGUGUUUGUUACUUUGAUGCUUUACAGAAUCAAAACGACACCAGCUCCUCGCACCAUUUACACCACUAAUCUUGGUCAUGGGAGAAGCUAAUGUGUUAAUACCUCACCAUGGUUACCAUAAAGUCCAUCUCUAAAACCUGCCUCGACCUUCUCUUCACUCUGGUUUCAGCUUAAUGAACGCUCGCGCCGUCAACCUGCGCUUUCGUGAAACAGCCAUGACUCUAAUUUACCGUUGGAACAAGAUGACAUGAGAUUUCUCUCUGCAGGAAAAUCAGGAUGUAGUGUUGAUGUGAUUUUAGCGCUCCAUACCUAUUAAAGUGUGGUUUAUGGUGUUGUAGCAGGAAGCAGCACAUGUCAGGCAGGAGGUGGUGGUGGUGGUGGGGGGGGGGGGGGGGGGGGGGGGGGGGGGGGGGACUUACCUGACAGCACAGGGGGAAAUGUGUUAAAAGCCAAACCGUGUUUGUCGUCAUGUUUUCACAGCUACUAUCUAAACUACAACAAAAGUCAGUGUUAGGAAGAGGACAAACCAAAGGAUGACUCAGAUUGGUGCUUCGUGGUCACAAUCCUGUCUCUGUGGUGUGUGCGUGUGUCUGUGUGCAUCUGUGCACAUGUGUGUGUGUGUGUUUUUUUCCCCCCAGGUUAAUGCGAGAUCGUUGAUUAUGGCCUGGUGCAUUUGAACGUGAUUGGAGCCAACUAUCUAUGCAGGCAUGAGAGACACAGGCACAUCCUGGACAAAGCAAGCACAUCAAAGCUAAGUGGCCAAGCAGAAGCAUUCAUCCAUCUUUUCUCAUCUCUGUCUGAGUCAUACACACACGUCCGCAUCCUCCCUCCCUCCCUCUCUCUCUCUCUCUCUCUCUCUCUCUCUCUCUCUCUCACACACACAACACACUCACUCACUCACUCACUCACUCACUCACUCACUCACUCACUCACUCACUCACACAUCAGUUAUAUCUUUUAGGCUGGAGAGGAGAGGGGGCUGUUGGCAGUAGAAGGGCUUGACAGGAGAAGAAAGGAAGUACACAGGAAGUACAUUAGUUAUCACUCCCAUGUCUCCUCCACCUUUUCACUUCUUAUCACCACUCCACGUCUCAGGCCGCUUCUCCUUCCCAUCCCUCCCUUACCCCCCCCCCCCCCCCCCCCCCCCCCCCCCCCCGUUUCUCGUUCUGUGUCUUUCUUCCUCGCAUACACGCCUCUAAAAAUGACUUCCGUGCUCCACUUUAGUGUCGGGCCCUGGGAUCUAGAUGACACUUGGCAAGCCGCAUAAGCCGCAAGACAACUGGAUGAAAUAUUUAAAUGAAAGACGGCAGGGGUAGGAGAGGUGAAGACAGAGGAAGGGGAGAAGGGGCAGAAUGCAGGAAGACGGAGGGGACGAGGACGAGGGAAGGACAGAGUGUGACGCUCAGAUGUGGAGCAGAAUGUGAGGGAUUUCUUUUCUCGGCCAAAGAGAGGGCCAUGUGACACGACGCGUGGAUGAAUCAGCUUUCAUCUACAGUACGGUACGAAACCGCCUGAAGAGACGUAGACCAGUGUGAGAUCACGUUGCUUUAUCUUGGAACCAUCAGCAAGUCUCAGUAAAGAGUCUCGGCGCUUUGGGUUUAUUGCCAGCUUCACUCCUCGGAGGCUGAUAAUGAAUCGACAUCGCGGGCAAAAGCAUCUGACGUUGUUGGAGUGAUGCUGGUACUUCCGUCAGGUUAAUUAGGUUCUGUCAUUUUUGUCAACUAAAAUUCAUAUUAGCAGCCUGUUGUAAGUAUGAGUGUUACUAUGGCAACGUGUUCUAAAGCGUGCUGACACCAUAGCUGCUUGUUAACUAUAUAGGAUGUAUAUAAUUAGCUGACUACAACAAACUUAUGUGUACAAAACUUUUUUAAAGUAGCUGAGGCUGAUGGGAAUUUAUGAGCUACCAUAAGUCAAUACUUUCACCUAAAAUGUAUAUUUCAUGCAAAUACAUUUUUGUAUGUAAGGUAAUGGCUGCCAGAGUAAACUAUUUUAACACAAUGACACUAUGUUAUUAAGUCUUUAGCUGUUCCAACAUUAAAAAAAGGUUUUGUGUGUUAUUUUGUAUUUGACAAGCAACACUUGACUUCACUUAACAGAGGAAGCAGUGACCUCAGGUAAAACAGGACCAAACCCCAAUGUUGUCUUGUCCUAAUCUUAAAAGGCAGGUUCACAGGUUCAGUAGCUUCCUUCUAGUUGUAGUGUCCAGAGAACAUCUCAUUGAAUGGUGUUAAACCAUUAAUUUUGAUAUAUUUAAGCAUAACUUUGGCUGAGCUAAUAGUGAUUCGGUUCAGACGAUCUCAUCUUGCACCGCGGAGCCAAACUUGAGUCUCUUUGUUGACACCCUGCGACCCAAACACCAUCUUGCAACUAUUAAUAAAUAUGCUACUUUUUUAAUUCAUCCAGUUUUUAUCUUCCAGACCCGAUCAACAAUGCAACAGUUGAACUGCAAAGGAACAUGAAUGCUACUAAUAUUCUAGCACCUUAAAAUAAUACUAAAAAUUUAAGAAUAAUGAAAGAUAAAUACCAAAGUGAUCGGUUUCACCUUAACUCACAUAAAAAUCCACUGUCACUGUCACUAUGUUUUUUUUUUUUUCACACACAUAUAAACCAUAUAAACCGUCUUGAUUUUUCUUCUCUUCAUUCUGGUUUCGAUGAAUGCUCAUUUAAGGUUCAUGAUUCUUCAUCUGCGUGUGUGCGUGUCGUCGUGAUAAUGCAUAAUUAUUGUGUACUGUGCAUCUCAUUGCCCGCCUGCAUGGGUUUGCAUCAUUGAUUCAGAUGAUUUCCAUCACAGAUGCUGUAACUGAACUAUGUUUAUUACAAAGCUCUGCAUUCUGUUUGCAGAAUAAAAUGUAGACAAUUUAUAUCAAAUAAAUUCAAUAAAAAUGAAGAGUCCUAAGUUAUAAAA